CAAAACUUUCAACACGCGAUCUCUAGGUUCUGGCAUCGAUGAAGAACGCAGCGAAAUGCGAUAAGUAAUGUGAAUUGCAGAAUUCAGUGAAUCAUCGAAUCUUUGAACGCACAUUGCGCCCUCUGGUAUUCCAGAGGGCAUGCCUGUUCGAGCGUCAUUU
rnacentral:rRNA from 1 species